CCAGACUCCUACGGGAGGCAGCAGUGGGGGAUAUUGGACAAUGGGGGGAACCCUGAUCCAGCGACGCCGCGUGAGUGAAGAAGUAUUUCGGUAUGUAAAGCUCUGUCAGCAGGGAAGAAAGAAAUGACGGUACCUGACCAAGAAGCCCCGGCUAACUACGUGCCAGCAGCCGCGGUAAUACGGAGGAUGCGAGCGUUAUCCGGAUUUAUUGGGUUUAAAGGGUGCGUAGGCGGGACGUUAAGUCAGCGGUAAAAAUGCGGAGCUAAACUCCGUCGAGCCGUUGAAACUGCCGUUCUUGAGUGAGCGAGAAGUAUGCGGAAUGCGUGGUGUAGCGGUGAAAUGCAUAGAUAUCACGCAGAACUCCGAUUGCGAAGGCAGCAUACCGGCGCUCAACUGACGCUGAAGCACGAAGGCGUGGGUAUCGAACAGGAUUAGAUACCCUAGUAGA
rnacentral:rRNA from 1 species